AAGUCGUAACAAGGUUUCCGUAGGUGAACCUGCGGAAGGAUCAUUACCAAUAUAGCGAACCGAGCGUUAGCGAGGCUUCGCGAUCAAAUUGUAUUUAAAACCCAACUCUUUAAAUAUAUAUCAUUAUUGUAUUUUAAAUAAUAAAGAUCACUUUCAACAACGGAUCUCUUGGCUCUC
rnacentral:misc_RNA from 1 species